GUUCAUCUUCACUGACUGCGCAGAUCUAUGUAAGUUGUACUGCGUGGUCAGUCUUGAUGAAAAC
rnacentral:pre_miRNA from 1 species